rnacentral:ncRNA from 2 species
UUCUUAUCCAGAGAGGUGGAGGGACUUGGCCCAUUGAAGCCUCGGCAACAGACUCUUUGUGAGCACUGUGCCAAUUCCAACAAGCAAAAUUUUGCUUGAAAGAUAAGAA